rnacentral:misc_RNA from 1 species
AACGCACGAGACCUGCGGACCUGCGGAAGGAUCAUUACAGAGUUUUCUAAACUCCCAAACCCAUGUGAACUUACCAUUGUUGCCUCGGCGGAGCCUACCCUGUAGCUACCCUAUAAGGUGGUUACCCUGUAGCGCCCCGCCGGUGGAUUUUCAAACUCUUGUUAUUUAUAGUAAUCUGAGAGUCUUAUUUUAAAUAAGUCAAAACUUUCAGCAACGGAUCUCUAGAUCGGAAGAGCACAC